UACGUAGGGGGGCAAGCGUUGUCCGGAAUUAUUGGGCGUAAAGAGCGCGUAGGCGGUCCGGUAAGUCGGUUGUGAAAGUCGGGGGGCUCAACCCUCGGAUGCCGGUGGAUACUGUCGGACUAGAGUGCGGAAGAGGCGAGUGGAAUUCCUGGUGUAGCGGUGGAAUGCGCAGAUAUCAGGAGGAACACCGAUGGCGAAGGCAGCUCGCUGGGGACGGUACUGACGCUGAGGCGCGAAAGCGUGGGGGAGCGAACAGG
rnacentral:rRNA from 1 species